rnacentral:lncRNA from 1 species
AUUUGAAAGAUUUCUGAGUGAAGUUCUUAGGGUUUUCUCGUCUGGAUCUCCUUCUAUAAUCUUGGUGUUUUCUCUAUAAAUUUGUUGAGUUUUUGGAACUGAUUGUUAUUGGUAAACAUUUAGUCGAGACAAAUUUGUAUAGAUUGCUUGUUCUUCGUCUUGAAAGAGAAGCGAGAGAAAUCUGAAGAAAUCUCUGAUUUCUUUAUACAUUUGUACUAUUUCUUUGUGAUUUUAUGGUGGAAUUGAGCGUAAUCUACUUGUAGAUUUUCAACGAGUGAGUACAUUAAAAGCUGAACAUCUGGGCUUUGUGGCGAAAAAUGAAAAAUUCUCGUGUUCCUUUUAUUUUUCUGCAAAACUAUAUUGUUUACAAACUAUCAUUGUAAAUUCUUUGUCAAUACGAUUCCGAGACCAUUAAGUGGUAUCAGAUCCUGAAAUUUCGUCCUUCAGGCGUUAGGGUUUGAUUUUCUUGAAACCCUAGUUUAUGUUUUCGCAGAUUUGGGAAUUUUUUUAACAUUUCGAUGGAUUUCUGGAAUAAAUCAUCUUCAAAGGGUUUUUCAUUGUUAAAUCUUUCUUCGAUCCAAAUUUUAGUUGGAUCCCUCAAAGAUUUGGUGCUUUUAAAUUUUUUUUAAGGAACUGGUAUUGAAUCUUCUUUCGUGCUUGAAUGUUUCUGAAAGUUUGAUUUACCUCUUAUCUAGAGGAUUUCGGUGUUUACUGAGUUGUUUAGCAAUUUGACUCUUGAUUUACCACUGAGUUGGUACAGUAUCUUAAAACUCGUCCUAAGUGCUAGUGAGUUGGGUUUCCUCACUUCGAGUUUAGCUGUUUUUCUUGACUCAUUUCUUAGUUGUACUGAGUCAGUGUGACUCAUGGAGUACCUAUGGUAAUUCUAGAUUUCUGAACUUGUUCUAAUAUUCUUUCCCUGCAUUCCUUUACUGAAACUUCAAAGUUUUCAGCUCUAGUGUAAUUUUUCAUACUCUUUACUUUUAGUCACACAAAUUAAAUUGUUCUUGUCUAAAUUUGAUUUGGUUAUUAAGGUAAUUGAUCCAUCAUUGCUCUCCUUUGUUCAAGAUCUCCUGAAAGGAUUGGGGAAUCUAAUGAAGUAGUGGAUUCACGGGUCAUCACCCCUUAAACCUGUCAAAUGGACAAUUCAGUUUUUAAAAUAAAUGUAUGAGUUGAUCAUUAUACUGUUAUAUAAUUCUAAAUUAUAUAAUUCUGAAUUACUUGAAUUGUAUAAUCUGUUUUAUAAAUUGUGUAAAUUGCAUGAUAACAAGAAAUUUCUGUAAUAUUGUCUUAUAGGAGAUAGACUAAAGAAAAAGGAGUUCUCGAAGCCCUAAACGAUGAAAAAUUGGACCAGAAAUAGGUUAUACGUCAUGGGCAUGGCACGAGUUUUGCUCAUUGGGACCAAUAUAUGUAUUAUGUGUGAUCGGCAAACUUACUUUGAUUAUUUCUUGUGUUUGUUAUGUAGAAUUUAUUAUGUUUGUGACCCCUUUUUAUUCAUCGAUUAUUUGUGACAGCCGUAUUUUUUCUUAUUUCAUUCAUAGUCUAUAUUCAGUUUGUGACCUCUGACAAUUCGAUUUUUUGUAGGAUCUUUAUUUUGGAUUUU